CGGAAAUCGAAAGUUGGAUUAUUUACUUCCGCUUUAAAAGCAGUUUAAGGCACAACCCUCGGUGUUUUAACAUUUGGUCAAAGGAAUAAUAAGACAGUAAUUUAAAUUACUAGAAGUUAUUACAUUUAUUUUGGUGAAAACUUGUGAAGUGGCAUAAUAGAUGAAGAUCAUGAACAGGAAUUUAGAUGAAGAUGCUGUACCAGCUGAAGAGGGGGUUGUCAGAGGAGCAAGUUUAACAUACACGACACCGGAAGGAGCCAGAUAUAACAUCAACACAGGUACACCUCAUAUUGCUGGAAAUGUACAAAUAGGUACUGGUAUGGUAAUGAAUAUUAAAUCUAAUCAAUCAACACUGCCUAAUAUUAAGGCAAAAAAGCCAUUAUCAACAAGAAUGGACAUUGUACCACAAAAAUUGUUAGAUGAUAUAGCUCAAGAUAUUAAAACCAAAGAUGCUGAAAGACUUGGAAAAUACCUUGGAUUAACCGAAGCUAAAAUAGACGAGAUUGACCAAAAUUAUAAGAGAGAUGGAGCAAGAGAGAUUAAAUAUCAAAUAUUAGCGGAAUGGAAAAGGAAAGAUGAAAGCCCAACGAUAAAAAAAAUAGCUAAAGGACUCAGUACCAUUGGUAGAGGAGAUAUAGCAGAUAAAGUUCCACAUUGAUUCUAGAAUUAAAUUUAAAUGGGAAGUCCAGUCAUUGCUGUUCUCUAUAUUUUAUUAUUAUCUAGUAUUGAGAUAGUUUCAACCAUACUCUACAAAAAGUUUCAAAUCAUACUCUACAAAUAGUUUCAAUCAUACUCAACAAAUAGUUUCAAACAUACUCUACAAAUAGUUUCAAACAUACCAUACAAAUAGUUUUUGUCUUUAAUAAAUGUGCCAGCUGUGUAACUUUCAUUUCCAUUGUAAACAAAGCAACGCACAUGCUAUAUUAGCCUUCAUUCCAGUGACUUCAUUUGUGUAUUCACCCAGUCACUAUAAUGAGUGCAUGGUUCGGUUUAUUCCCAGAUAAGAUCACAGCCAACAUCUCAGUUUGUUAAUUAAAGGCAAAAUGAAAUUUUGUGGAAAUAAUUUUAACAGAUAAUGAAAAAGUAUAAAGAAUUUACAACUACUGGAAUUCUUCUUUAAUGUGAUGUGAAUCUGACUUUUUAUUGUGAUAAAGGACUGAAGAGUACUGUAUUUUUUGGUAAAGAAAACAAACCAAUAUGACUGGUGACAUUGUUAUUAAUGAUAGUGUUAUUUUAAAGGAUCUGGAACAGAUAACUGGAGAUGAAUUUUUACAAUGUUUUGUAUUCAGUUCAUACUUAGCCUUUCAAAUGGCAAAGUAAAUGUUUUUUUCUUCAUGUUAAUUUUCUGUGAAGUAAGGAGGGUUAUUGAAAAUGAUUAAUGUUACUAGUAAGAAGUCUACCUGAACAAAUGUCUUUAGAGCAGGGAACUUAAUUGACUGUUUAUUGUCAGAUAUAUCUGUUUGAUGUUUGAAACUGCUGAUUGAAAAAACAAUGAACUAGCCACUAUCUUAUUGUAAAUCAAUCUACGUACAAUACGGUUGGGUGAUAUACCGGUAUUUCGGUAUAUUGUGAUCGGACUUACUUAGAAAAUAUCGAAAAACCGGUAUACUGUGACAACCAAAAUUAUCGCGAUGAUAAUUAUCGUGUCCCAAUAUAGAUGAUAAUUGGCAAUGCAAGAGGUCACAACUGAUACAAGGACUCGUAAUCGAGGAACACUAUGGUCAAGGUUGGACAGUAUUUACCCCGGUUACUUACUGUCACUGUCUUGUUUAUCGUAAUAUUUGAUAAAUUUUUAUCACAAUAUUUUUUUUCCAUUAUUGCCCAACCCUGACAUGCAGCUUGAUAAAACUUUUAAUUAAGAAGUCAAUCGAUAUGUCAGCUGUAGUCUAUACUCCUUAACAGUUAUACCUUAGCGAGAAUUGACACAUUGUUUAUAAUCCACGAGUUGGGUGGCCGAAUGGAUUAAUGCGUGCAAGUUAAAUGGUAAUGUCUGUCAUUGAGUUAAGGGGUGUGGUUUCGAUUCUUUGCUUGUAAAAUUGAAUAAUAUGUUAGUUCCGAAAUGACAUAGUUUGUAUCACGUGGACAUAAAACCCCCUGUCAUUCAUUUCUGUUCAUAAUCCAAGUAAUUAGCCCAUUUAUCAGUAAUUUUGAUAAUCAUGUAAAAAUAGAUAUUUUAUUUCCACGACAAAGAAUUUAUCUUGUCUCCUGUUUGCAGUGGCGGCGCCCCCCCAAUAAUUUUAGAAAAUAAAAAAAAGUAUUUGUGAUACGUUUUGGUAAUCAAUACCGUCUACGGUGAAUAAAUCCCACAUCCCCACUCAGUCAUAAACUUGCAUGUUGUAGAGCAUUUCCAACAGUCUAUUUUUCAAAAUUUUCUUGGCGAGGUCCCCAAUGGACUCGCUACUUUGGCGCUCACAAGGGGAAUUCGUUGAGGUUCGCAUGUCCGUUCGUUUGACAUUUUGUUCUCUAGUCGGAUAAACUAGUGAUCAGGCGACAAACGGUAUCUGGGCAGAUCUAUUUAUCUCGACGAUCGGUGCCUGACAGAAUACCGUAAGACAGCAUUUGCGGCAGUCUAUUUUUCAAUAUUUUCUGGGGGAGGACUCCCUACUUUGACGCUCGUGAGUGGGCUUCGUCCUGAUUCGCAAGUCCGUUCGUUUGACACUUUACCUCAUCGAUCAGUGCCUGAAAUACUGCCAGGCUGCAUUUUCGGCAACCUGUUUUUCAAAAUUUUCUGGGGGAGGCACCCUACCCCUAGUUGAAGCUCGUGCCUUUGCCCCCUUAAAGUAGCUAAGUCUUUAACUCAAUAUCAUCAAAAAUCUUCGACAUUGAAAACACCAUUUAUUUGUCGCUUUAAAUCAACAUUGAUGUUGUGAUCUUACCGGGAAAAGAUAACCUUCUGAUAUCCAAUAUUUAAGACAAAAUAAACAUUUUACAUUGUACCAUAAUGUGUUUCAGCCCUAUUUGUAAUAAGGGACUCGAAAAACGUGGCUAGGCAUAUUCCACAAGUCAUGUCAAACGGUGACGCUAUAUUCUUAUCUGGAGAGCAUGCCCAAUAAAUACUAUCGGCGUAGACUGGGAAAACCAGACGCUAGAGAUUGACAUUCGAUUGAGAAUACUGACGUAUUUCGCCGAACCUAACUGAUUAGAAAUUACAGUAAAAACAGAAACGAUUGAAUGUAAAUCAAUUUAUAUGCAUUCAUAUUACAUUAUUGUAUGCGUUGCGACCCAUUUGUGUCAUUUUCUAGGUCCCAAAUAUUAGCGACUUGGCUCCUUUAACCCUGGCCAUUGCCCCAGCUUUGCCCCUCCAAUCACCGACGGCUGGCGCCGCCACUGCCUGUUUGUUACUUUAAGACAGUGAGAUAGAUAUGGGAUUUAACUUUACAUCAACACAAACUAGGUCAUUUUGGGACUGACAUGGAUAUUUUAUGACGGCAGUUCGCUUGAAACAUUGGAAGAAAAGCAGAAAUCUGGAGCGAAACCCAUGACUCAACUUACAGGGAAGAAACUAACAUCAUACCUCAUCAUGAUCUUUACACGUGCCUUAGACUGCUUGUGACACCCCAUCCUUGUUAGAUCAAAAGAACCUUUCAUUCGGGAUGGACGGGGAAGUUGUCUAGUGGCUGUGUUGCUCAUUAGAAGAUCUAUCAUCCAUGCAAGAUGUUGAUCAAUUGAGUGGAUGUUAAACCCAAUUUCCUUGCUUUCCUCCUUCAAAAUUAUUACGUCUCAGGCUCAAUAGCAGAAAUCAUCUUACAAUGUUUGAAUGUUUUUUCAUUUCAACAGGCUUAGAUGAAGCAACAAGAUGUGUUCCAGUCCACACUUUCACUGUUUUCGAUCUGAACUAACUCCUCUAACUACUCCUGUAAAACUGUUUAUUAAAAGUUUAUUUUUGAGUUA